GGUUAAGUGACUAAGCGUACACGGUGGAUGCCUUGGCAGUCAGAGGCGAUGAAGGACGUAGUAACUUGCGAUAAGCUCAGAUUAGGCAGUAACAGCCACUUGAGU
rnacentral:rRNA from 1 species